CAUGCAAGUCGAACGGCAGCACGGGAGCAAUCCUGGUGGCGAGUGGCGAACGGGUGAGUAAUACAUCGGAACGUGCCCAAUCGUGGGGGAUAACGCAGCGAAAGCUGUGCUAAUACCGCAUAAGAUCUAAGGAUGAAAGCAGGGGACCGCAAGGCCUUGCGCGAAUGGAGCGGCCGAUGGCAGAUUAGGUAGUUGGUGAGGUAAAGGCUCACCAAGCCUUCGAUCUGUAGCUGGUCUGAGAGGACGACCAGCCACACUGGGACUGAGACACGGCCCAGACUCCUACGGGAGGCAGCAGUGGGGAAUUUUGGACAAUGGGCGCAAGCCUGAUCCAGCCAUGCCGCGUGCAGGAUGAAGGCCUUCGGGUUGUAAACUGCUUUUGUACGGAACGAAAAGGUUCUUUCUAAUAAAGAGAGCUCAUGACGGUACCGUAAGAAUAAGCACCGGCUAACUACGUGCCAGCAGCCGCGGUAAUACGUAGGGUGCAAGCGUUAAUCGGAAUUACUGGGCGUAAAGCGUGCGCAGGCGGUGAUGUAAGACAGUUGUGAAAUCCCCGGGCUCAACCUGGGAACUGCAUCUGUGACUGCAUCGCUGGAGUACGGUAGAGGGGGAUGGAAUUCCGCGUGUAGCAGUGAAAUGCGUAGAUAUGCGGAGGAACACCGAUGGCGAANGCAAUCCCCUGGACCUGUACUGACGCUCA
rnacentral:rRNA from 1 species